rnacentral:rRNA from 1 species
CAUGCAAGUCGAGGGGCAGCACAGGUAGCAAUACCGGGUGGCGACCGGCGCACGGGUGAGUAACGCGUAUGCAACUUGCCUAUCAGAGGGGGAUAACCCGGCGAAAGUCGGACUAAUACCGCAUGAAGCAGGGGCCCCGCAUGGGGAUAUUUGCUAAAGAUUCAUCGCUGAUAGAUAGGCAUGCGUUCCAUUAGGCAGUUGGCGGGGUAACGGCCCACCAAACCGACGAUGGAUAGGGGUUCUGAGAGGAAGGUCCCCCACAUUGGUACUGAGACACGGACCAAACUCCUACGGGAGGCAGCAGUGAGGAAUAUUGGUCAAUGGGCGCGAGCCUGAACCAGCCAAGUCGCGUGAGGGAUGAAGGUUCUAUGGAUCGUAAACCUCUUUUAUAAGGGAAUAAAGUGCGGGACGUGUCCCGUUUUGUAUGUACCUUAUGAAUAAGGAUCGGCUAACUCCGUGCCAGCAGCCGCGGUAAUACGGAGGAUCCGAGCGUUAUCCGGAUUUAUUGGGUUUAAAGGGUGCGUAGGCGGCCUUUUAAGUCAGCGGUGAAAGUCUGUGGCUCAACCAUAGAAUUGCCGUUGAAACUGGGGGGCUUGAGUAUGUUUGAGGCAGGCGGAAUGCGUGGUGUAGCGGUGAAAUGCAUAGAUAUCACGCAGAACCCCGAUUGCGAAGGCAGCCUGCCAAGCCAUUACUGACGCUGAUGCACGAAAGCGUGGGGAUCAAACAGGAUUAGAUACCCUGGUAGUCCACGCAGUAAACG